UUCCGCGAGGAAGGGUCUGAAGGAAGCCGCUAGCCCCCUCGAUUUAACAAAAUGCGAGCUGACGAACAAAUACAUCUAUGAGGUGUCGGGUCAAGGAGAGUUGCCGCAAGACGACGAAGCCAAGUGAUUUAAGACCCUGUACAUGAUGCAGUUGUGCAGUGAAAGUUCA
rnacentral:ncRNA from 1 species